AUAAAAGUCUGCUAACGUUUGAGGAUUCAUACUGUUCGCCUCGAGCACCCGAGUUGGCAAGGAACAUCUGAGAGCUCCGAUAUCAUGGUCUCUCUAGGAAGAGCCGUUAUUGUUGUUGCGGCAGCCUUAAUGGCUCUGACGGCAUUUGUACACGCGAUACCUACUCCCGCACCGGUCGCACCUGGAGCCAUUACAGCUUACCCGAUACCUCAAAGGCCGGCUUAUGCUCCGAAUCCGUGGGUUUAUCCGAAACCGACCACGGUGCAGCCUAUAGGACGUUAAAUGACGAUUCCCCGGACCGGAUUCGCGAGGACACAUCCGUUUCUCAAAUUCAUCGCGCGAAGCCGUUGCACGCGCGUCCUGCGAGUCCUGCCAACUUGGAAGCGAUUCUCUUUUUCUUAUCUCGUGAAGAAUGCAACUUUUCAUUGGACGCGUAACUUGGUAAAUAACCUGACUGAUCAACGAUCAGUCCUCUGAUCUUGUGAAUUGAACGGGUACGAAAUUAACACACUGAUAACUUGACGGACGAUAAAUCGUCGUCAGUCGCAAAUGUUGUUCAUUGAUGCUGGGUAAUACGGCGUAAACUCGCGACGUUAUAAAUCCGAGACAACUUCGUAUUAACAUUGUCAAUUGAUUCAUUAUAUCGAUAUAUGUGUGAGAGCGAAUUAUAUUUAAUAUAUCAAAAGAUAUAUAGAAUUAAGUCUCUUGAAAUGUAUAUCGCCAUUUUGUCGUUGUAAAUUAUCAUUUAUUCGUUUUGGUAAGCAGAAAUACAAAUAUACGAAUAUACGAGAUAUUUUGCGAAAACAUGGGGAUUAUAUGUGAGAAAAUAAGUUAAAUUCGAAAUUUUACUUAUUUACUGUUAAGUCAAACUUCUCGUGUGCCAAUAAAUAUGUGCUUUAAAUUAU